rnacentral:rRNA from 1 species
UCGAUUAUGGCUCAGAUUGAACGCUGGCGGGAUGCUUACACAUGCAAGUCGAACGGCACGGACUUCGGUCUGGUGGCGAGGGCGAACGGGGUGAGUAAUGUAUCGGAACGUGCCUAGUAGAGACCACGCGAAAGUAGCGAUUAUCGCAUACGCCUUUUCUGGGGAAAGCGGGGACCUUCGGGCCUCGCACUAUUAGAGUUAUUGAUAUCGGAUUAGCUAGCGCCAGGUAACGCUCACCAAGGCGACGACGAUCCGUAGCUGGUUUGAGAGACGACCAGCCACACUGGGACUGAGACACGGCCCAGACUCCUACGGGAGGCAGCAGUGGGGACUUUGGACAAUGGGGGAAACCCGAUCUCAGCCAUCCCGCGUGUGCGAUGAAGGCCUUGGCCAAAGCACUUUACAGGAAGAAACGGCACGGGAUAAUACCCCGCAACUGAUUUCGGUACCUGCAGAAUAAGCACCGGCUAACUACGCGCCAGCAGCCGCGCACAUGCAGGGGCAAGCGUUAAUCGGAAUGCACUGGGCGUAAAGCGUGCAGGCGGUUCGGAAAGAAAGAUGUGAAAUCCCAGAGCUUAACUUUGGAACUGCAUUUUUAAUCACCGAGCUAGAGUGUGUCAGAGGGAGGUGGAAUUCCGCGUGUAGCAGUGAAAUGCGUAGAUAUGCGGAGGAACACCGAUGGCGAAGCAGCCUGGGAUAACACUGACGCUCAUGCACGAAAGCGUGGGGAGCAAACAGGAUUAGAUACUCCUGCAAAUUCACGCCCUAAACGAUGUCAACUAGCUGUUGGGGCCUUCGGGCCUUGGUAGCAGCGCGACGUAGUUGACUGCCUGGGGAGUACGGUCGCAAGAUUAAAACCCGAAUUGACGGGGACCCGCACAAGCGGCGGGAUGAUGUGGGAUUAAUCUGAUGUAACGCGAAACCCUUACCACCUUGAUAUACAACUGAAUCCCGAAGAGAUUUUGGGAGUGCUCGCAAGAGAACCGGAACACAGGUGCUGCAUGGCUGUCGCUCAGCUCGUGUCGAGAUGCUGUCUCGCAAACGAGCGCAACCCUUGUCAUUAGUUGCUACCAGCAAAAUUUCAACGAGACUGCUGGUGACAAACCGAGGAAGGUGGGGAUGACGUCAAGUCCUCAUGGCCCUUGCGGGUGGGCUUCACACGUCAUACAAUGGUCGGGACAGAGGGUCGCCACCCGCGAGGGAGCCAAUCCCAGAAACCCGACCGGGUCCGACUCGCAGUCUGCAACUCGACUGCGUAAAGUCGGAAUCGCUAGCGUAAUCGCGGAUCAGCAUGCUCGCGGUACUACGUUCCCGGGUCCUGUACACACCGCCCGUCACACCAUGGGAGUGGGUUUUACCAGAAGUAGUUAGCCUAACCGUAAGGAGGGCGAUUACCACGGUAGGAUUCAUGACUGGGGCGUCGUAACAAGGUAG